rnacentral:rRNA from 1 species
CUGGAACUGCCAUUAAAACUUUUCAGCUAGAGUAUGAUAGAGGAAAGCAGAAUUUCUAGUGUAGAGGUGAAAUUCGUAGAUAUUAGAAAGAAUACCAAUUGCGAAGGCAGCUUUCUGGAUCAUUACUGACACUGAGGAACGAAAGCAUGGGUAGCGAAGAGGAUUAGAUACCCUCGUAGUCCAUGCCGUAAACGAUGUGUGUUAGACGUUGGAAAUUUAUUUUCAGUGUCGCAGCGAAAGCGAUAAACACACCGCCUGGGGAGUACGACCGCAAGGUUAAAACUCAAAUGAAUUGACGGGGACCCGCACAAGUAGUGGAGCAUGUGGUUUAAUUCGAAGAUACGCGCAGAACCUUACCAACACUUGACAUGUUCGUCGCGACUCUAAGAGAUUAGAGUUUUCGGUUCGGCCGGACGAAACACAGGUGCUGCAUGGCUGUCGUCAGCUCGUGUCGUGAGAUGUUGGGUUAAGUCCCGCAACGAGCGCAACCCUCACUUUUAGUUGCCAUCAUUAAGUUGGGCACUCUGAAAGAACUGCCAGUGAUAAGCUGGAGGAAGGUGGGGAUGACGUCAAGUCCUCAUGGCCCUUACGUGUUGGGCUACACACGUGCUACAAUGGUAUCUACAACAGGAAGCAAGACUGCGAGGUCAAGCAAAUCCUUAAAAGAUACCUCAGUUCGGAUUGCACUCUGCAACUCGAGUGCAUGAAGCUGGAAUUACUAGUAAUCGUGGAUCAGCGUGCCACGGUGAAUGCGUUCCCGGGUCUUGUACACACCGCCCGUCACACCAUGGGAGUUGGUUCUACCUUAAGCAAGGUUUAAAACCCUUGACCACGGUAUAGUCAGCGACUGGGGUGAAGUCGUAACAAGGUAGCCGUAGGGGAACCUGCGGCUG